UACGUAGGGGGCAAGCGUUGUCCGGAAUUACUGGGUGUAAAGCGCAUGUAGGCGGAGGGGUGUGUCGAACGUGAAAGGCUGCGGCUCAACCGCAGAGCGCCGUUCGAAACUGCCUUUCUUGAGGGCCGAAGAGGAGAGUGGAAUUCCCGGUGUAGCGGUGAAAUGCGUAGAGAUCGGGAGGAACACCCAUGGCGAAGGCAGCCUCUCUGGUCGGUCUCUGACGCUGAGAUGCGAAAGCGUGGGGAGCGAACGGG
rnacentral:rRNA from 1 species